UUGUUUUCUUUCAGACUAAGUAUUAUUUUAAUUCCUUCAUUAACUACAAUGUAUAUCCAUUUAUAAAGCAGUGAAUGUUUAUUAUACUAACAUUUUCGGCCUUAUUAAAAAAGGCUUUGAAAAGUACCCGUACGGAGAAAAGCAUUGAAAUGAAACUCAUUUUAUUCUCGCAACAAUAUUAAUGUUUUAUAGGAAAUAUAAAAUAAUCUGUCACAUUAUUUUAUAUUUCAUUUUCAAAAGUCGUAAUGCAAACAAACCGUUUUUGCUUGUUUUUAUAGAUAAAUUUUGUUUUAUUAUUACUAUUAUUAUUAAGAAUGUAUACACAAGAACUUGUAAUAAAGAAAUGUAAAGAGAAAUAAUGACUUUCUCGACAUUAUUUGCAACAAAAUCAAUCGAUGAAGUGUAUUUUCUAUCAAAGGCUCCUUCAUGAACUAACAAGCCUUCAAUAUUUCUCGUAAGUUAAUACAAUGUUUUGUAGUUUCUUUAAAAUGUUAAUUACAACACAAAAUUUUUUUAAAAAUUUACAUUUUGUAGAGAAUGUUUUCUUCGUUUAUAUUUCAAAUGUUUAAAUUUUGUUAGCCGUUUUAGUAAUGUACUUCAACGAAAUAUGAUUGUCACCUUUUCUAAUGCAUAAUAUGAUAAACACUGAUGCCAUUUUCCAUCCUUUCCAGUUCUUCUAUCGAAUAGGGUUGCUGUAAUCUCAGUCCCUAAUGGAAUAGGAAAAUUAAGUUGUAGUAUUUGAAAAAUAUGCGCUUUUAUUGCAUUAGAAACAUCAUGUAGUGUCUUGGAAGUCUGUUAAUUAAAUUUGACAGGUGAAUUACUUCGCUGCUCAAGGGGCUAGCGGCGCUUUACUGAAUACAUAAAUACAAUGCGGGAGUGGUUCAUGUGCGAUUACUUUAGCUUAGCAAUGAUAAGGAUAUGCAAAUAAUUCGAUUUAAUAUACAAUAUCAAACGCUGUAAAAUAAAACAGAGCUAACCUAAUCAUCGUAUCAUUACUAACUUAAACCUAACUGCCCAUUUAAUCAUUGCAAUUUUGUUAUGCAGGGAUGCCCUUCUGUGUUAUGCAGAGAAGCCUCUAUUUAUCGAAUUUGACAGUCCAUUCCGGGUACCUAUUUCGAAUAAUUCAGAUUACACUGAAAGUUAAUAAUACGUAUUUUUUCAUGUGCUAUAAGGUUAUAAUUGACAUUGUUUCCCAAUUUUCUUUACAGGCUGAGAUACAAAAUUCAAAAGUCACUUGCAGAGACGUUCGAGUGUCACCGAAUUCGAACGACCCGAGCUACUAAUGUCGUCUUGUAUCAAGUAAUGUGCCAAUAAAGUUUUAUUCCCGGAACUUUUUUAGAAAAUUACGUAAAAGCGAAUGGUAAAGGAAAUAUUUCCAGUUUAUCAAUAUAUAUUCAAAAAUAAUAAGAAAAUGAAUAAAGUUCAAGUAUUUUCAUCUCAAGAUGAAUCUGAAAGCAAUG